GAUGAACGCUAGCGGCAGGCCUAAUACAUGCAAGUCGGACGGGAUUCAGGAGCUUGCUUCUGAUGAGAAUGGCGCACGGGUGCGUAACACGUAUGUAACCUACCUUUAUCAGGGGGAUAGCCUCUCGAAAGAGAGAUUAAGCCCGCAUAAAAUCACAGCACAGCAUUGUGUAAUGAUCAAAUAUUUAUAGGAUAAAGAUGGGCAUGCGGAACAUUAGCUAGAUGGCGGGGUAACGGCCCACCAUGGCGACGAUGUUUAGGGGAUCUGAGAGGAUGGCCCCCCACGCUGGUACUGAGACACGAACCAGACUCCUACGCGACGCAGCAGUAAGGAAUGUUGGUGAAUAGGCGGGAGCCUGAACCAGCCAUGCCGCGUGCAGGAAGACUGCGCUACGGAUUGUAAACUGCUUUUAUACAAGAAUAAACCCAGAUACGUGUAUCGGGCUGAAUGUACUGUAAGAAUAAGGAUCGGCUAACUCCGUG
rnacentral:rRNA from 1 species